rnacentral:lncRNA from 1 species
CCUCUGCAAAAGGAGUCGCAGAGCAGAAAAUGAGACUCAGGGAACACAGGGCAACUGGGGAAGGAAAAACUCCCAAAGGACCUGAUGAUGUAUCUGCAUUCCAAAAAUGGGAUGGAGUGUGUGGAACUGCUCUCCUUCGUUCUGGAAAGUGUCACCAAAUAUCUAUUGAGUGCUUGCUCUGUGAUCUGGCAGACAACUCAAAGGCACAGAGAUGAAGAUGAAACACACCAUGGAGCCAGGGAAGGGCCUGGAUGCUGUGGGAAACACUACAACAGCCCCCAAGGACUGGGAUCAAUAUUGGAAACCUGUGCUUUAGUUCUUCCACCUCUGCUGCUGCUAUGCUGUGUGACCUCAGGCUUCUCCUUUCCCCUCCCGUCUAUUCUCCAAGCACCUAUUGCCUCCAAGAUGGGCUCUAGACUGUAAGAGCCUUGUCCUUCACUCUCCCAGUAGCCCCCAGGCCUUUGAAAACAGCCAGGCAGACCCCCUCACCUGCUGCUCACAUGGCAUCCUGUGGUGGCCCACGAAGCCCCAGUGACCUGCUGCCUGGCUGCCUCCCUCCACGGCUCUAACCUCUGUCCCCUUGGCACCAGCUCACUAUGAGGUCCUCCCUAUUCCUUAAGACCAAGCUCCAGCCUCUUCAAAAACAGCACAUCUCUCUCUGACACAGCCACUCUCCCUUUAUCCUGUGUAUUCCUUCACAGCUCCCCUCCCCAUCUGCAACCACACUCUGAUUGUUACGACUUUGCUCGUUCCCCUCUCUGGAAUAAAAAUGGUAAAACUCUGUCUCUUAUUCAUGACCAUUUAUCCACAACCUAGAACUGCUCCUGGCAAUGAAGAGGCUCGCCACGCCUCUUGCUGAAUGAGUGGAUGGAUGGCUGGAUGCUAAAAGAGAUUCCCACUAGGUUCUGAGAAUGAGGCAUCCCAGAGUAACAUCCUGUUUCCUUCUCCGUUACCUCGACACCUGUAGGACUGGGCCGACUGGGAGCACCAUGUGGAGAACAGAGACAAACUGGAGUGCCUUGGGGAGGAAGGAGGAGAGCACAGUCUCUGAGUCAGCCAUGAGGCAGAGCAAAUACAAGUGGUCAUGCAGGAAGAAGAGUGCUGGUUCUGCGGGGUCCUAAGAGGGAGAUGUACGGGGGGUGUGCUUUGUUCAAUAUGACAACACUACCAAUGGUUUAGUUCUUACUGCAUGAGCUUUACAUGUGGUGUAUCUUUCUGGCCUUGAAACUAUCCUGCAGGGUAAAACAACUGUCCCCCAUCAUAAGAAAUGAAGGUAACAGUGCAUGUUCUCCCCUCAGCCUGGGACAGCUUCACCAGGCAAAUUCCUGCUCAUUCUCCAGGCCAUCUCCCCAGAGAAGUCCUUCCUCAACCUCAAGAACACAUCGAGUUCUCUGUCUUCUGUUCCCACAGGACCCUGCAGUCACCCCUCCUAGCUCUUGCUGUAACAGUAGACACAUGAUUUCGGUGUAAAUAUGGACAGGACAGGAGGCAGGGCUGGACACUGCUACAUGCCCCAGAACAGUGCCUGUCCUAUGAUAUCCAAGGAAUAAUUAUCU